AAGCUCGUAGUUGAAUUUCGGGGUUAGUAGGUUGGUCAUGCCUCUGGUAUGUACUGGUCUCACUGAUUCCUCCUUCCUUAUGAACCGUAAUGCCAUUAAUUUGGUGUUGCGGGGAAUUUGGACUGUUACUUUGAAAAAAAUUAGAGUGUUUAAAAGCAAGCUAACGCUUGAAUACAUUAGCAUGGAAUAAUGAAAUAGGACGUUCGAUCUUAUUUUGUUUGGUUUUCUUAGGUAUUGACGUAAUGAUUAAUAGGAUAGUUGG
rnacentral:rRNA from 1 species